AGCUGCUGGCCACGUCACUAGACUCGAUUUUAGAUCUUGUGCGUGUGACAGCGGCUAU
rnacentral:pre_miRNA from 1 species